GAAGACAAUUCUGAGAGUACUGUUCAGGUAUGACGGUAUUAACCAGAAAGCCCGGCUAACUACGUGGCAGCAGCGCGGUAAUACGUAGGUGGCAAGCGUUGUCCGGAUUUAUUGGGCGUAAAGCGAGCGCAGGCGGUUUUUUAAGUCUGAUGUGAAAGCUUCGGCUCAACCGAAGAAGUGCAUCGGAAACUGGGAAACUUGAGUGCAGAAGAGGACAGUGGAACUCCAUGUGUAGCGGUGAAAUGCGUAGAUAUAUGGAAGAACACCAGUGGCGAAGGCGGCUGUCUGGUCUGUAACUGACGCUGAGGCUCGAAAGUAUGGGUAGCAAACAGGAUUAGAUACCCUGGUAGUCCAUACCGUAAACGAUGAAUGCUAAGUGUUGGAGGGUUUCCGCCCUUCAGUGCUGCAGCUAACGCAUUAAGCAUUCCGCCUGGGGAGUACGGCCGCAAGGCUGAAACUCAAAGGAAUUGACGGGGGCCCGCACAAGCGGUGGAGCAUGUGGUUUAAUUCGAAGCUACGCGAAGAACCUUACCAGGUCUUGACAUACUAUGCAAAUCUAAGAGAUUAGACGUUCCCUUCGGGGACAUGGAUACAGGUGGUGCAUGGUUGUCGUCAGCUCGUGUCGUGAGAUGUUGGGUUAAGUCCCGCAACGAGCGCAACCCUUAUUAUCAGUUGCCAGCAUUAAGUUGGGCACUCUGGUGAGACUGCCGGUGACAAACCGGAGGAAGGUGGGGAUGACGUCAAAUCAUCAUGCCCCUUAUGACCUGGGCUACACACGUGCUACAAUGGAUGGUACAACGAGUUGCGAACUCGCGAGAGUAAGCUAAUCUCUUAAAGCCAUUCUCAGUUCGGAUUGUAGGCUGCAACUCGCCUACAUGAAGUCGGAAUCGCUAGUAAUCGCGGAUCAGCAUGCCGCGGUGAAUACGUUCCCGGGCCUUGUACACACCGCCCGUCACACCAUGAGAGUUUGUAACACCCAAAGUCGGUGGGG
rnacentral:rRNA from 1 species